UUCCGGUUGAUCCUGCCGGAGGUCACUGCUAUUGGGAUUCGGCUAAGCCAUGCAAGCGGAGGGCGCGGUCGAAAGAUCGUGGCCCCGCACACUGCUCAGUAACACGUAGUCAACCUACCCUUGGGACGGGGACAACCUCGGGAAACUGAGGCUAAUACCCGAUAGGUGAGGGACGCUGGGAUGCCUCCUCGCCCAAAGCUCCGGCGCCCAAGGAUGGGACUGCGGUCUAUCAGGCUGUUGGUGGUGUAACGGACCACCAAACCUACGACGGGUACGGGCGAUGGGAGUCGGAGCCCGGAGAUGGGGACUGAGACAAGGCCCCAGGCCCUACGGGGCGCAGCAGGCGCGAAAACUCCGCAAUGCGCGCAAGCGUGACGGGGGGAUCCCAAGUGCCGUUGGUCUUUCGAUCGACGGUUUUUAGGAAGUCUAAGAAGCUUCCAGAAUAAGGGCUGGGCAAGACUGGUGCCAGCCGCCGCGGUAACACCAGCAGCCCAAGUGGUGGCCACGAUUAUUGGGCCUAAAGCGCUCGUAGCCGGAUCAGCAAGUCCCUUGUGAAAUCGGGCCGCCUAACGGUUCGGCGUGCAAGGGAUACUGUUGGUCUUGAGGCCGGGAGAGGUCGGAGGUACUCCUGGGGUAGCGGUGAAAUGCUCUAAUCUUAGGGGGACCACCAGUGGCGAAGGCGUCCGACCAGAACGGACCUGACGGUGAGGGGCGAAGGCUAGGGGAGCGAACGGGAUUAGAUACCCCGGGUAGUCCUAGCUGUAAAGCAUGCGGGCCAGGUGUCUAGCGCUCCUUGAGGGCACUAGGUGCCAGAGGGAAGUCGCUAAGCGCGACGGCUGAGAAGGUACGGCCGCAAGCUGAAACUAAAGACAUUCGGCUGGGGGAGCAUCACAGAGUUCGGACUGGCGGAUCACUGCAUGCAUCGACG
rnacentral:rRNA from 1 species